GCUCAAUGAUGUAACUCUCCCGAAACUGAACACCUGAAGAAAACAAGUACAGAUUCUAAUAG
rnacentral:snoRNA from 1 species